GGAGAGGUGGCUGAGUGGUUCAAAGCGUCCUCCUGCUAAGGGGAAACGGGUAGUACCGUCGCAGGUUCAAAUCCUGUCCUCUCCG
rnacentral:tRNA from 1 species